rnacentral:rRNA from 1 species
CGGAGAGUUUGAUCCUGGCUCAGGACGAACGCUGGCGGCGUGCCUAAUACAUGCAAGUCGAACGAACUCUGGUAUUGAUUGGUGCUUGCAUCAUGAUUUACAUUUGAGUGAGUGGCGAACUGGUGAGUAACACGUGGGAAACCUGCCCAGAAGCGGGGGAUAACACCUGGAAACAGAUGCUAAUACCGCAUAACAACUUGGACCGCAUGGUCCGAGCUUGAAAGAUGGCUUCGGCUAUCACUUUUGGAUGGUCCCGCGGCGUAUUAGCUAGAUGGUGGGGUAACGGCUCACCAUGGCAAUGAUACGUAGCCGACCUGAGAGGGUAAUCGGCCACAUUGGGACUGAGACACGGCCCAAACUCCUACGGGAGGCAGCAGUAGGGAAUCUUCCACAAUGGACGAAAGUCUGAUGGAGCAACGCCGCGUGAGUGAAGAAGGGUUUCGGCUCGUAAAACUCUGUUGUUAAAGAAGAACAUAUCUGAGAGUAACUGUUCAGGUAUUGACGGUAUUUAACCAGAAAGCCACGGCUAACUACGUGCCAGCAGCCGCGGUAAUACGUAGGUGGCAAGCGUUGUCCGGAUUUAUUGGGCGUAAAGCGAGCGCAGGCGGUUUUUUAAGUCUGAUGUGAAAGCCUUCGGCUCAACCGAAGAAGUGCAUCGGAAACUGGGAAACUUGAGUGCAGAAGAGGACAGUGGAACUCCAUGUGUAGCGGUGAAAUGCGUAGAUAUAUGGAAGAACACCAGUGGCGAAGGCGGCUGUCUGGUCUGUAACUGACGCUGAGGCUCGAAAGUAUGGGUAGCAAACAGGAUUAGAUACCCUGGUAGUCCAUACCGUAAACGAUGAAUGCUAAGUGUUGGA